UACGGGGGGAGCAAGCGUUGUUCGGAUUUACUGGGCGUAAAGGGCGCGUAGGCGGCCAGCACACGUCAGUUGUGAAAUCUCCGAGCUUAACUCGGAAAGGUCAACUGAUACUGUGCGGCUAGAGUGCGGAAGGGGCAACUGGAAUUCUUGGUGUAGCGGUGAAAUGCGUAGAUAUCAAGAGGAACACCUGCGGCGAAGGCGGGUUGCUGGGCCGACACUGACGCUGAGGCGCGAAAGCCAGGGGAGCGAACGGG
rnacentral:rRNA from 1 species